AACCAGCUGAGGCUGGCACAGUGCCUGGUCAGCAUCGUCCUAGGGCCACAGGGACCGGCUUCUGUCGUCUGCUGACAGUGAAGGACUCAGCAGGGCUGCCCCCAACCCUUGAUGGACAAGUCGCAUCUGGGUCUUCAGACUCCCAGAAGGAAGGGACAGGGGGACCUGAGGUCUUUGGCUCUGCAUCCUGCCACCCCACUGGGUCUAAGACUUGCUGCUGGGGCUCAGUGCCAGCAUCAGGAAUCCGCUGCUCCCAGGGGGAGAAAGCUUCGUGCAUGGUGAAG